CCACAUGGGCACGUUUUCCUGCAAUUGGUCUGUGGCCACAUCCUAUCAUUUUAUAUUUGCUGCCUGCUCCAUCAGGCUAAUAAAGCAGCUGUUCCUUAUGCAUGCCAUGCUCUGUAGUGUGACUGACAGAUAAUGGCAGCAUUUGAAGACGUGCGAGAGAUUCUCCAUUAUGCUGUCACCCUCUCUGCCAUAUUCUAUAAAAACGUUUCCCAUGGAGGACGAUCCAAAACAAAAGUGUUCCGCCAGCCGAGGUGUUGCGGGAGCCUUCUCCGCCCUAGGAACCCUGGUCGGAAGCCCCAGGAGCUAAGCCUCUCUGCACUAGCCCUCUGUGAGCAAGUGAAACGAGAUUAAGCACAAAGGAAAAGGAAAAAAAAAAAAAAGGGCGGACUCAUGGGAUAUUAACACCUGCCUCAAGUGGAUAUUGCCUUCUCCCUGCCUCUUGGGCUUAAGGUAUUGAACAUGGAACACUAACUCCUUUCUUUUCAGUAACCCUAAUGGGUAGCCUCUCCAUGGUAUGUGAUUUCCCCCGAUCCCUCUCUGUACUCAUCCUGGCUAAGUUUCUGUGUUCCUUCUCUAUCUCCUUAUGGGGCUUCCUCAUCUCUUUAUUUAUUUAGCAAUUAAUUAGAGGCUACUACAUGUAAGGCACUGUUCUAGACUUUAUGGAAACAGCAACUAAAAAAAAAAAAAAUACCCCAAAUCCCUGCCUAUGGAGUUUACACUCUAGUGGGAGAGGACAGAUAUUAGACAAAUAAAAGUAUUAUAUGCCAGAUAUUGAUAACUUCAUGACAAUAAGUGAGGUAGGUUAAAGACAAUCUUACAUAAAAUAAUGAGGAAGUCCUCUCUGAUCAGGUUGCAUUUGAACAAAGCCUGGAAAAGGUGAGGAUGCAAGACAUUUCAAAAUCUGGCAGAAGAAGUUUGCAGGCAUAACAACAAUAAGAGACAAUGCCUUGAGGCAGAAGUGUGGUUGGAGCGUUCAGGGAACCUGGAAUAGUUAGCAAGGAGGAUAGUAAAUGAAGACAAAGAGACGAUGGGGGGAUUUAGGUACAAAUCAUAUAAGCUCUUGUGAUUCAAUGAGUUCUGAAUGAGAUGCAAAGUCAUAGAAAGUUUUUGAGCCCAUUUGCAUUCCCUGGCAGUCACUGCUUCAAGAGUAACCUCUUUUGUCUUUUAAAACCAUAGAUUAUUUUGACAUGAACUUUAUGUAAAUGGAAUGGUAUGGUAUGCUCAUUUGAUUUCUAAUUUAUUUUACUCAAGUUAUAUUAGAUAGAUUAAUCCAUAUUGUUGGUGAUAGUUGUAAUUUAUUUACUCAUUAUUUUACGGACUUUCGUUGUACAAAUAUGACACAGUUUAUUUACGCAUCUUACUAAUAAUUGACAUUUAAAUUGGUUUGUCUCUCAGGGACAGUGCUGCUUUGAACUUUCUGUACAUUUCUUUGAAUGAAAUACAUUGUGUUCGGUCAUCUCCAAACAGGUGGAAUUGCUGGGUCAGAGCUUUUGUGUAUGUUCAGCUUUAAUAAAUACUCCCAAAAUAUUUUCCAAGAUGGCUAUAGCAAUUUAUACUUCCAUUGGCAGUGUUUGAGAGUUCUAGCUGUCCUGAUAGUCGUGCUUUUGUGUCAUCUACUGCCCUCUCUUAUGUGUGUAUGCUGGACCUAGUGACUUGCUUUUAAUCUAUAGAAUAUGGAAAAAGUGGCAGAAUGGUACAUUUGAGACUAGGUUGUGAAGGCUGUGUUCUGCUAGCACUCUUGCCACUUUGCUUUCUUCCUCUAAUGAAGCCAGCUAUGUUGUUUCCUGCCAUAUGGAAAGGCCUUGUGAGUAAGAACUGAGGAACUCAAGGCUUCAGUCCAACAGCCCAGUAGGAAGUGACUGCUGCCAACAACCACUGGAGUGAACUUGGAAGCAGGUUCACCUUUAGUUGACUUUCGUUUAAGAUGACUGCAACCUUGUGAGAGACUCGGAGUCAGAAAACCCAGCUGGGCACACAAAUUCUUGACCCACACAAAUAAUAAAUAUAGGUGACAGAAACAUGAUGUAAUAAAUGUAUGUUGUUUUAUGUGGUUAAAUUUUGGGGUAAUUUGUUAUACAGCCACAGAUAACUAAUACAUUGGCCAUUUGGACAUGCUCAUUUGUGAUGUGUCUGUAUACAAAGUUUGCCCUCUUUUCUGUUGGGCUAUAUGCUUACUUGCAUAUUUGUUUAUUUUCAAGAGUUCUAAAACCUUUUGAAAUGAAUUCCUAACAUAUAUGUUGCUUCUAUGCAGCCUAUGGCUUGCCAUUUUGCUAUUUUAAUGUUUUUGAUGAACUGUGAUUCUUAAUUUAAAUAUAGUCAAUUUAAUCAGAAGUUUACCCUUUGUAAUUAAUGCCCUUUUAUAUCCUGUUUAAAAAAAGUUCUGCCUAAACUCAGAGACAAAAGCAAAUGGGUAGUUUCUAGGGGCUGUGGGAAAAUGGGAGAAUGGCUAUAGGGGUACCUUUUAGGGUGAUGCAGAUGUUCUGGGAUUAAGUGGCAAUGAUGGCUGCACACCACUGUAAAUGUGCUUAAAAGCCAAUAAAUUGUACACUUUAAAAUGGUAAAAAAAAUUAUGCCUCCCUCAAGGCUAUGGAAAUAUUGGUCUACGUUGCUUUUAAAAUUUUGUUUUACUUUUAAAAUUUAGAUUUAUAACCCAUCUGAUAUUGAUUCUGUUUAUGGUGUGAGCUUGGCAUCAAGAUUUAUUCUUUUUCCAUAAGAUAUCUAAUCGAUUCAGGACCAUUUAUUGAAAAGAUCAUUCUUUCUGCAUUGCACCUCAGUGUUACUGCAAGCAGAUAGCUGUAUAUGUUGAAUUCUUCUGUGUUUAGUCAAUUAAGCUAAGAACCACUUUUCCCAGAAUCUCACUCUCUGAAUGGUUUCCAUUCCAGUUGGCUAAUAGAGGACCUCACACAAAAUUUGGAAGGAGAAAAUGAAGUUACCGAUGUUCUUUGGAAGUCUUCUUAGAUUUGUCCAUGGAAAGACACAAGGUGCUGGUGGGUUCUAGCUUUCCUCUUUCUUCCCAUCUGCAUGUCUAGCUCUUCUUCCUGACUGCUACCUUUGCCAGCCAACAGCAGCCCUAAGUCACUGCCAGGUGUUUGGCACUUGUAACAGUAUAUAGAGGCAACAGUUAGCUACAGACCUUCCACUGUUUUCUUCUUCUUGUUGCAGUUGGACAUCCUUGGGGUUUUUUUGCCUGGUUUUUCAGGUAUCUCUGCAAACUGACUUUUUCACCUAUGCCAAUGCAUCAAGAAGAUUCAUUAGUGACUUCUUCCCUGACUCCCCAACACCCCUUGGGAACAGAAGGUAUAGGUAUUCAAUGCAAGUAACACGAGAAAUCCUGUCCAGGUGCAAGCUGACACAAAGUGUAUGUUUAAGGCUGGCUGUGGGAUCUCCUGUCUGUAAUAUUGAUCAGUUUUUCUAUUUUUUGUCUCAAUAAUGCACUGUCUUAAUUACUACAGUUUUAUAAUAAGUCCUGCUAUCUGGCAAUGUAAGUUUCCAGCUUUGUUCUUCAAGAUUAACAUGAAUAUUCUUGGUCUUAUUUUUAUAUAAAUUUCACAGUCAGCUUCAGUUUACACACACACACACACACACACACACAGCUGGGAUUUUUACAUUGAGAUUCCAUUAAAUCUUUAGAUAAAUUGAAAGAAAAUUGGCAUUUU
rnacentral:lncRNA from 9 species